UACGUAGGGUGCAAGCGUUAAUCGGAAUUACUGGGCGUAAAGCGUGCGCAGGCGGUUUUGUAAGUCAGAUGUGAAAUCCCCGGGCUUAACCUGGGACUGCGUUUGAAACUACAAGGCUAGAGUGUGGCAGAGGGGGGUGGAAUUCCACGUGUAGCAGUGAAAUGCGUAGAGAUGUGGAGGAACACCGAUGGCGAAGGCAGCCCCCUGGGUUAACACUGACGCUCAGGCACGAAAGCGUGGGGAGCAAACAGG
rnacentral:rRNA from 1 species